rnacentral:tRNA from 1 species
GUUGUGGUAGUUUAACAAGACAUUAGCUUGUGACGCUAAAAAUGGAAUUUUUUCCCCGCGGCC